rnacentral:rRNA from 1 species
AUUGAACGCUGGCGGAAUGCUUUACACAUGCAAGUCGAACGGCAGCACGGGUGCUUGCACCUGGUGGCGAGUGGCGAACGGGUGAGUAAUACAUCGGAACGUACCCAGUCGUGGGGGAUAACGUAGCGAAAGUUACGCUAAUACCGCAUACGUUCUGAGGGAGAAAGCGGGGGACCGUAAGGCCGUGCGCGAUUGGAGCGGCCGAUGGCGUAUUAGCUAGUUGGUGGGGUAACGACCUACCAAGGCGACGAUCCGUAGCGGGUCUGAGAGGACGGCCCGCCACACUGGAACUGAGACACGGUCCAGACUCCUACGGGAGGCAGCAGUGGGGAAUUUUGGACAAUGGGCGAAAGCCUGAUCCAGCCAUUCCGCGUGAGUUAAGAAGGCCUUCGGGUUGUAAAGCUCUUUCGGCAGGGAAGAAACGGCUUGGGAUAAUACCCCGGGCUAAUGACGGUACCUGAAGAAGAAGCACCGGCUAACUACGUGCCAGCCGCCGCAGUAA